CCAGGUCCACGCAUCUACACAAAAAUCCAGAUCAAAUUUCUCAAUCCAAACGUGAGGCAUUCACAAAAUGCUUUAGCCUGAACCAAUUUCUUCGCCGCUUCCUCCGUAAUUUCAUCCUCUCACAUCGAUUCCACGCUUCCGUUUUCAACCGAAGCUAUGAAUAACAUUGAACCUGGAGCCAACAUCAUUUGAAUUCUAAAUCAAAAUCCACCUUGACACAGCCAAGACUUCAAUCACGUUAAGCUCCGAGAUCCAAAUCAACAUCUAAUUCGCUUCAUUAUUGCGCACCAGAAUCGAAAGAAAUUGAAUUGAAGCGAACACCACAGCGAGUCAUGGAUCGCAAUGAGAAGGUAGAAGAAAAUUUACCGGAAUUUGAGCUCAAGCUUUGUGGCACGAAUAGGUACCGAUUCUCUCUGCCUUGCUAUGCAUACACCUCUUCUUCUCCUCGCUUCUGUUUUUUAUCCCUCCGUUUUCUGUAUUGAGUGUGUUGUUAUGUAAUUGAGAUGAGAUGAGAGAGUAACGAGUCUGAGAGUGAAAAAUGGUGGAGGUCUAAGCUCUACCAAUUGAAGCUUCAUUAUGAAGCUUCAAUGGCGUGUUCUGAGGAAGAGCUUUGGUGAGGGUUGAUUCCAAGGGAGAGAGAGGAUCUGAAAUCGAUCUUUGUGAGAUUUCUGAGAGUGAAAUGUUCAGAGCUACAGCUGAACUGCGAUGAGAGCUCUUAUAGAGUCCAAUUCUGUUACAAAUUCACCUGAAAUUUAGGUUAAAUGUAUAUUGAAAUUAAGAAGUUAGUUAUGAAAUGCACUAGUUAGUUGGUUGGUUGAUCGUAAUGAUUCUGUUAAUGGAAUUGAAAUUAAUUUGAAAAUGAAUUUGAGGUUAAUUUGUUUGGAUUUAUUGUACUGUAAUUCAAUUUUCCUUGAACUUGAUCAUUCUGCCGAAAUGUACUUCAAAGUGUUACUGUUGAACGAAAAUAAGUUAUUAAGUUGUUAAUGCCACUGCAAUGUAAACUAGGUUCUGUUAGGAAAGUCAGUUUGGGUCCAAUUUUAUUACUAACAUGUUUUGCUUUGUAAAGCUGUUAAAUCCUAUUGAUACUCAAACAUUGAAAUUGAUGGCUACCGCCAUUCCUGUGAUUGGUGAGUUAUCAUGAUGCCUUUUGUUGAUGUGAAGAUAUAUUGUUGACUGAACUGCAAACUUGUUGCAGGCAUUUGGACUGAGGUGCCUUGAUUUGUUGUUGAAGGCAUUAUUAAUCAAUGAGGCUUGCUAAAUUAUGCUGAAAUCCAUGGUGUUCAUGUUCCUGCUCGUGGCUUUGAUGGACUCCAAUGCUUGGUAUGUUGUUAUGGCAAUUGAAUAACAUGCUUGGAUGUUACCACGUGAUUAAUAUUUGCUUAAUUUGCUGCAAAUUAUUACUGAUGAUGACCAUCUGACAUUGCAGGAUCCAGGAUUGAGAGGCAAAGUUUUUUCAUGAAGCAAUUGGUUUAUGAUGCAUAGGUACGGGUACGGUACCCGGUGCGGGUACCGGUAAUGGUACGGGAUACGCCAUUUUAAAAAAAAUUAAGGUACGGGUACGUUAAUAAAAAAUAAGAGUUUUCUAUAAAAUGUAUGGGGAGAAAACUAAAUUGUUAGGUUCACAAUAAUACAUCACUAUAAAAGUUUAAAAAAUAAAAAAUAAUAUUAAGAUAUAGUAACGAAGAAAUGAAAAUACAUAAAUAUACUACAUUGAUAUUUGAAAAAACAAAAAAUUUCACUUGAAAUCGAAUAAUCAGAAAAGAUGAAGUACCACGAGUACGGUACGUGUACCUGGUACGGAUGCGCACCCGAUACCAGUACUUCACCAUUUUAGAAGUACCCAUGCUUCAGAGCAAUUGGUGUUAACUGAUGUACAAUGUGUAUGCUCAUAUGUUAUUGCCAUGAAUUUGAUGUGCUUGUCAUGGAUGUAUUGCUGGUUUGUGUGCUACAUGAUGCAAGGCUGCAAUUGUCAUGCUUGGAUGAACACUUUGGUCAUGGUUUGCAUAGACUCAUGGGGUGUUCUGACUUGUUCUUGGUUUUGUAGGUAUAACUUAUGAACAUUGCCUUAAUUCUGACCUUGGUAUAACCUCAUGUGACAAGGUUUAACAUGUCGCACCAUGGCUUUGUUUUGCUAGGUUUACUUGCACAAGCUAAGUUCAUGACAUGGCAUUGAAUAUCAUGUGCAAAUGGCCAAAUCAAAAUCAAGAUGGAACUGGAAAAUGGGAUUAGGAUUAGCAUUGGCAUUUAGUGGUUUAGGAUGGAAAAUCACUUUGAGUUGACUUUGGUCAAAGUUGAACAAAAAGUCAACUGUUGACCAAAGUUAAUAUUUGUUAAACAUGUAUUUUUUUUGGUAUUUUUUGUAUGUAAAGAACAAUUUAUGGUCAUGUAAUGAAUGGGAUUGAUGCAUUUAAAUGAAAAUGAAUGGAUUUGGUACAUGAAUAUGUUAUUUAAAAUGGUUUGAAUUUAGACUUAAA
rnacentral:lncRNA from 1 species